CUUGGCACGCUUCCAAUCCUGAAAUUGCUUCCACUGCUGUUGCCUCCUCCCCUUUCUGUUCAGGUUUCUGCUCCGCGGUCACGUCAGACCCCUCCACACCCUCCAGGCACAUCCAGCCUUCAGAAACUAGCAGGCACUCUGAAAUGAAAUGUAAAAUCAGAGCAAGGCUGGAGAACUUUUCUCCCAGGACCAAAAACAAAAGCCCAAAUUUUGCCUGGAAAUCCUGACAAGCUACCAGAACAACUCCUGGGAUAAAGCCUUGCAAUGACUUCACAUGAAGUCUGAAUCCAGAGAGAUGCAAUUUAACUCCAGGAGAGGUUGUCAGCCUGAUCUACUGUCCUAAAUUAUGCAGAUCAAAUCAGAUGACUGGAUCCACUAAUCAUAAAUCAAAAUUUAUACUCCAAGAGCAGUUAGAGAUUCAUUCACAACAGCCUGACUCCAGGUCUUGGGGACCAGUCUCCCAGUUUUCACCUGGGAAAGGGAUAAUGCAGCAAAGAAGAGCCAGAAUCCCAAAGGACUGGGCUGGAUGCCCCCUGCCCCAGCAGUGUUGCCAAAAAGGACAACGCCCAAAAUUCAUGUCCAGUUGAACAUUUGACUAAACAAAACUAUGGAAUUAUCUGCCAUGAGCACUGUCUACUCUUUGUGAGUGUUCUGAAGUCCUUCAUCUCAAAAACACAAUAACUUAAUUUUAAAAGAGAAUAAACAGCUUUAAACAGAAAGACUAACAAAACAUGAGAUAUCUUAAUAUAUUUGGUGAAGAGACUAGAAAAGACCUUUUCUAAGAGAAGGGAAGAUUAAAAUAAAACAAAAAAAACAAAAAAAUAAUUUCCAGCAAAGUCAACAGGAACGAACUUCCAAAGAGAAAACUCUUUGAAAUCAUGAGGAAAUUUGUCAAGAUUUCACAUUAAUAAAUUAAAAUUUAUAGGAAAAAAUCUUUUAUACAUUUUUUAUGGGUCAAAUAUAGCCAGUUAGCCAAAAAAUUAAAAUUGAGCAGUAUGGAUUGGGGUCCAACAGGCUGGUGACAGGAUGAGAAAGCCACCUCGGAGAUCUGAGAAUCCUGC